GUCGCUCCAAGCCUCUGGUUGGUGAGAACGUGGCGCUGAUAACACCAAGGCCGCAGGUUCAAUCCCCGUAUGAGACA